CUACUUAUUCCGCGUAGGAUAUAAAUAAUAAGCUCGUAUGUAAAUAUAAACUAAAUUUUUUCGCCCUCUUUUUUUUCCUGCGGCAAGGAAACCUACAGUACUUUCUUGCUCGUCUUCGAAAUUCUCCCAAUAUCUCUGGGAAACCGUCAGCAUCUCGUGGAUUUCAUCCUGGUUAGAAUUUCAUCGGGGAGGAUUCGAGAUCGGUUGUUUGAUUUUCUAUUGCAGAUUUAGGCUUUGAUUGGUGAUUUGAGAUUGGCAUCUUCCUUUGGAGAAGAGUCUAGAAGCCGGCGACCAUGUUUGCUCGUCUUUUCGGGAAGCCCAAGGAGCAGACCAAUGCUCUGGCGACACUUGACAAGUUAAAUGAG